GUCAUCACCACCACAGCACUUCCACUUCCGCUACGUCGCUUCCGAGGCCGCGUUCCUGCGGAGAGUGUUGUACGCGCUUAAGCGGCGGAGUUCAGUCAUAGUGUGGGUUUAUAUCAAGUCGCCUCUGCCGUUGCCGUACUCGACCGACUGACUCCCAAAAAUGAGGGCAGGUGUACUCCGAGUGUCGAGGCUCUGGGCUUGGAUAAGACUGGCAGGUAACUGUGUUUGAGAGUCAAAGUUUUAACUGUUGUUGGAGACCAUGGAUUGAGGAUGCACUGCUUUGGAGUUUCUCAGUCACUGUGUCUUCCUUCACUGUGGUUUUAAUGACUUCAGAUACUCCAUUAGUUCCAAGGAUGCAAGGUAAACUUAAAAACACUUCACUAUUUAUAUCAUAAUAUCCCUAAAAUGAAAAAUAUAGGGAUUAUAAUAGAAGUGAAUCACUGCAAAAAAAAAAAAAA